UGUGUAGAAAUGAACUCCUGUCAGAGUUUCAAACAAAUUAAUAUUUUUGGUAAAAUGUGCUGAUGUAAGGAGCUGGAAGAUUAGUGGUGCGAGGUGACAAGUAGUACAUUCCUUUGCAUGGAAAUAGCAAUCCUGCAGGUGACUGAGGCUGUAGCAGUUUUAUUGAAGAUUCAAGUUUGAUUGACCUCUGUUAGGGUAAUUAACCUUUCUGAAAUUAAAAACCAGAGCUGAAUUAUUCUGUCCAAUUUAAAUGCAAA
rfam:Procavia capensis cont1.17963, whole genome shotgun sequence.